rnacentral:rRNA from 1 species
ACGGAAGGCAGCAGUGGGGAGUAUUGCACAAUGGGCGAAAGCCUGAUGCAGCAACGCCGCGUGAGUGAAGAAGUAUUUCGGUAUGUAAAGCUCUAUCAGCAGGGAAGAAAAUGACGGUACCUGACUAAGAAGCUCCGGCUAAAUACGUGCCAGCAGCCGCGGUAAUACGUAGGGAGCAAGCGUUAUCCGGAUUUACUGGGUGUAAAGGGCGCGUAGGCGGGGAUGCAAGUCAGAUGUGAAAUCUAUGGGCUUAACCCAUAAACUGCAUUUGAAACUGUAUCUCUUGAGUGUCGGAGAGGUAGAUGGAAUUCCUAGUGUAGCGGUGAAAUGCGUAGAUAUUAGGAGGAACACCAGUGGCGAAGGCGAUCUACUGGACGAUAACUGACGCUGAGGCGCGAAAGCGUGGGGAGCAAACAGGAUUAGAUACCCUGGUA